rnacentral:pre_miRNA from 1 species
CUGAGCCGCCGGAUCUCCCAGUGAGUAGGCCCGGGCCGCCAGAUCCGGUGACCCCGGUCUCCUCGCCGGUGUAUCCGGCGCCGCAG